UCAGAAACUGCUACUCAAGUGUACCCUCCUGGUUCUAGGGUUCCAUUGUGGUGACAACAAAUUACAAGCAGCUUACUUCCUCAGAGCCCAUCACUACCAACACCAACUGACAGCUUCGAGAAGGACCUCAGUACCACUUUCCCUAACCAAAAUUUUCCUCUUUACUCCAAGCCCUGACAAGGAUAAAUCUCUAAACUUUAGAAACAAUGUAAUUUUACAAAUUAACUUAUACGCAGGGUUACUUCCUUUCCAAUUUGAUCAGGGAAUGCAGGGCAAGAAUAACCCAAAAUAUGCAAUGUAAAUCAUGUUGAAAUUAAAAUGUAUUUCCAUCUCCACCCCUCCACGAUGGCAUAAUUUCAAAUCAACUUAUAUAAUGCAUAUCUAGUCCUCUGAAAAAUCAUUUUUAAAAGUAGGGCUGUUAUUAUUCUGUCCUAGCUAUCGCAGAUCAAUUUAGAUUUGUUCUGUAAGAUUUCAGAUUUUCCCCAAAUGACACAGGUGGUUAUUUUAUAUGUAUCAGUCAUUAAAAGAUUAAUCCUUUUUAACUAAAAAGAGACAGUACGGUCAUUUACAAGUUAAAGUAGAUUUAUUCUGAGCUGGUGCUCUGGGGUCUUACUUCUCUAAAAUUUUGUGAUUUACAAUACACCACAUGUAGGAAACAGCUUCCAAAAUUUGUAUUGCUUCCUACAAAUCAGACAGGACUUUCAGGAGAAGGAGCCUAGGAUAGAUUCUCUGUUAAAUUUUGGAAUCCCUUCUCUCAAGAGUAACCUACUAUAAACUAUUUACCAAGCCUUUGUGAAAUCUGUAUAACAGGUUACUACUCCAUUGAGCAAGAAAACACAGGAAACAGGAUUCGAAGAUUUAAUGUUACUGCUCAUACUCCAAAUUAUAGAAUGCUUAAGAUAAUUAAAUUAUCUGACUUUUAUAAUUCACUACACGGUGACCUCAAAUUUACCUCAUUAGAAUAUUUAGUACUUCUGCACUUCUCCCACUUCUCAAAGUUUUCCCAUACCAGGAUUCCCCACCACCUAGGAACAGCCUUUGCAAGAUACCAAUGCUCUCUAAAUCCCCAAAGCAGGGUCUAUUUCCUGAUCGAACAAAGAGCAACAAAGAAGUGGGUGGUAACCACCUCUCUGAGGCAAGCCAGGACCCAUGGAGUCUGAUCUACAACACAAGCAGUAGCAGUUCCACAUCUCCCUACCACCUCUUAUUUCCUACGAAGUCUUUCUGCCUGAAACUGGAAAACCCGAACUAUUAUUGAGGAAGUGAAGCCCUUCCAUUUGAAUCCUGAGAAAGACGCGCUCAAAGAACCCAGCGAACAAAGGAGAGGGUUGGAGCCCACGCAAAACAUGGGUGUGAUAAAGCCACACGCGACCUGAGCCCCCACCCUCAGUAACUACUCUCCAGCGCCCACCGGGAGGAGGGGUCCGGGGAAAGGAUUGGCAUCCUCUGCUUCUGCAGAAAACAUGGCUACCAACAGCUUCUGUAUCCACCUGCGGAGGAGACUGACUGCUCUGUUAUUCCCCCAGCAUCUGUGAAGAGGCUCUGACUGGCUAAAGUGUUGGAAGGAGUCUGUAGCUUUAGGGGAAGACAGAGCCACAAGAUGGAAGGAGCUUGGAUGUCUGAACUAUUCCAUGGAGAAAAGCUGCAGCCAACGAAGAACACCUGCAAUGGACUCUUAACCUGGGGGUGACGACAACCACUGAAAUAUGCUGCAUCUUAGUCCAGGGAUUUUUAAAGUGUGGUUCCUGGAAGAGCUGGAUCAGAGUCAUCUGUGUUGAUGGUUUAACAUAAAGAUUUUCGAGCCCCAAGACUCAAGUAGGACAAGGAAUUUGAAUUUUUAAGCAGCUCACCUGACUUGUCUGUCCUCUAAUGUCUGAAGACAUCUGACCUCUGCUCUUUCAGUAAAAGCAACAAUGGUUUUAUGAGCAUUGUCGUCACAUCUCUCCACUCAAGGGAUCCUUCUCAUUUCUCCCAGCUGAGGUCACCCACAGCUGCUGCUUCUAACUGCUGGCUUCCAGCCUGCUGUCUGCCAGCUGGCUCUACCCUCUCCUAUAACACGGCAGAGAGUAGCUGUGGUCUCCUGCGUGCUCACCCUCUGCUCCCUUGGUCCUGCUCCAUGCUUUGGUCCUGCACUUAAAUUUUACAAGCAUACUCUCUUUCUCUUAAGAGAAACCUGAUACAAUUUCAAGGUGGAAUACUUGCAGUGAUGGUCAAGAUGAAAGAAUGAUUUUCAAUGCCAUUUAGAGGAAAUCUUGGGAUCAACUUGGGAAAAGACGGAGGCUCCUGGCUCUGAUCUUUGGGGACUUCAGAUUUUCUGGAUCAAGGUGAGUCUUCUUGAGGCUUUACCAAGGAAACAGGCAGUUUUAGAGUUGGCCUUAAGGAUGUUCUCUGGUGUCAUCAAAGAAAUGGAAAUGCAAAGCAGAGACAUGUGCAUUUAGAUAUGUGUAAGACUGUAGACUAUUUUUAGUGGAAAAUGGCUGCUGAGUGUGUGGAAAGAGUAUAAAAGAUUUCAGUGGGAAGAUUCUACAAUCAUUUGAGAUUCUCCAUUGCUGGAAAAUUCUCAAAUUAGGCUUAUGAAGGCAAUUUGAUUUAGCAAACAGCUCUCUGGACCAAGCAAAUCUUCUCAGCAGGGAUGGAAUUUGAACUGCACUUGUCCCUGGUUCUCACCUUCCCUGAGAAGCAGUGCAUCUGCAGUGUCCCAGGUGAUGCCCCCCACAGGCCUUGAAGCUUGUCUUCCAGAAGAGCCUUCAUUUCAGGGGCAGCAUUCCAGGAAGCACGCCCAUGAAACACUCAUGAGGAGGAACUGGGCUGCCAAUUAUGACUUGUCACUGCUCCAUCAACAUAAAAGCUCGGCAGCACUCAGAUGGCUCUUGAAAAUCUUUGAGAUAUAAUCUGAAAGGAGGUCCCAGUUUCUGCCCCGGGCUGUUUGCAUCAUCAACCUGCAAAAUUCCAAUCUUGGAACUUGCUGAGAUUUUCAUUCUGAGACUCUCUGCCCUGGGCCUUGAGGAUAGCCAGAAGAAUACUAUAUUUCUUCUGCCUCUCUUUCUCUUUCUAUCUAAAGAGGUCAGGAUUAUAUAUCCACUUUGCUGAAUAUAGAAUCAAACCCAAUUGCCAUCAGCAAGUGCUGUAUAUCACCUACCACACCUGGGACCAGGCAUCAACAAGACCUUGACAGGGCCAGAAGCCUCAAGCCCUCAUUGCCAAGCCCAUUAAAAUCAGGAACUCAAUCUCAUUAAGGAAGGAGUGCAAUGGAUAUAGCCAGACAGGAGGAUUUCCACUUCAGUAUUAUCCUGAAUAGUGAACAACCAUCUCUGCUUUUCUCAGGGAGAAAGAUGUGGUAACAGUCACAAUGAUAGUAGACGAUGGUGACUGUUUAAUUUGUCAUGGCUAACAUAUAUGGUUAGCAAAUUGAGUUUCCUUUUAGGUAUAGUCUGAAUUGAACUGAAGUUCAUUAUAAUUCCCCUAAGUUGAUCUGUGAGGGCAUUUUAGCCUUCUUGGUAAAAUUAAAUAAUAUCAGUCAAAAAGGCUGUUAAACCAAUUCUUACACUUGAAAGCUUCCAGUUAUUCUAAUAAUUUGGAAUCUGUGUCUCCCCCUCUGUGGCAAUGAGGCUGUUGCUUGCUUUUCCCAAGAGACUGUAUUGCAUCUUUCUUGUUUUCUGAGAUGAGAAACAACCUCAAGGUCAUGCCCAGUGAUAUGGUUUGGCUCUGUGCCCCCACCCAAAUCUCAUCCCGAAUUGUAAUCCCCACAUGUCGGAGGAGGGGCUUGGUGGGAGGUGACUGGAUUAUGGGGGUGUAUUUACCCCUUGUUUUCAUGAUAGUGAGUUCUCAUGAGAUUUGAUGGUUUAAAACUGUGUGGCACCGCCCCCUGCAAGCUCCCUCUCUCUCCUGCCACCAAGUAAGACGUGCCUUGCUUCUUCUUUGCCUUCUGCCAUGAUUGUAAGUUUUCUGAGGCUUCCCCAGCCAUGCAGAACUGUGU
rnacentral:lncRNA from 1 species